ensembl:misc_RNA 7SK 7SK RNA
GGAUGUGAGGGCGAUCUGGCCGUGACAUCCGUCUCCCCACGGAUCGCCAGGGUCGAUUCGGCUGAUCUGGCAGGCUAGGCAAGUGUCCCCCUCCUCCCUCACCACUCCGUGUGCUCCCUCCCAAAGCUGCAUGCUCAGAGAGGAUGACCUUCCCCGCUAGAGGAGGACCAGACUUCAGUCAAGGGUAUAGAACCUCCAAACAAACUCUCAAAAAAUAAAACAUGAAGUCACAAAAGAAAAAGCAACAAGUUUGCCAUGGACCCUAAUAUCAUAACUUUUAAAAAUCCAAGUGCAAUUGUUU